rnacentral:rRNA from 1 species
AGUGAACGCUGGCGGUAGGCCUAACACAUGCAAGUCGAACGGCAGCACAGUAAGAGCUUGCUCUUACGGGUGGCGAGUGGCGGACGGGUGCGGAAUACAUCGGAAUCUACUUUUUCGUGGGGGCUAACGUAGGGAAACUUACGCUAAUACCGCAUACGACCUACGGGUGAAAGCAGGGGAUCUUCGGACCUUGCGCGAUCGAAUGAGCCGAUGUCGGAUUAGCUAGUUGGCGGGGUAAAGGCCCACCAAGGCGACGAUCCGUAGCUGGUCUGAGAGGAUGAUCAGCCACACUGGAACUGAGACACGGUCCAGACUCCUACGGGAGGCAGCAGUGGGGAAUAUUGGACAAUGGGCGCAAGCCUGAUCCAGCCAUACCGCGUGGGUGAAGAAGGCCUUCGGGUUGUAAAGCCCUUUUGUUGGGAAAGAAAAGCAGCAGGUUAAUACCCCGCUGUUCUGACGGUACCCAAAGAAUAAGCACCGGCUAACUUCGUG